AGCAUUUUUGAGAUAAUCUUAACCGUUUCAGUAUUUCUAGUCCCAAUUUGCACUAAUAAAAUCAAGGUGCAAAUCAGUGCUGGUGAGUCUCUACUGAAGCUAAAGGAAUAGUUGAAAAUGUCUAUGAAUAUUCAUUAAAAUUCAGGAACGAACUCCAAAUUGAUCAUGUCUAUGACUUUUGGUGAAUUUGCUAUCUAUGAGCAUAUAAGCAUUCAAAAUUAGCUUUCAUGAAUAUUUGCAAAGACAAAUUUUCAAUUAGACUUUUCAGACACAGAAAAUAAAUGCUUAGCUACAAAUUCUUAGAAUUGUGAGAUUUGGAUUUCACACCAUAUUGCAUAUCUGAAGGACAAAAGGAAGGUUUUGUCUGUGUGGAAACCAUUGGUGAACCCUUAAUUUGUUAGCUGGGAAUCAUCAAGGAGAAGAAACAAAUGAGAAGAACAAAUGUAAGAAAAUAAGAAACAGUGUGGAUUUCUAUUUCAGGAUUUUCUUUUUUUAGUGUAUUAAACACUGUAGUUGAACAUGAAGUGAAUCUUACAGACUGGCUUCUCCUCAUUUGUGCUGUCAGGAGAUUGUCACCAGUAAGUUCUGUGACUUUGUCCAAGCAAAAUCAUUUUAAGAAAGUAGUUGGGUGUUUUUUACUGCUUAAGACAGAAGAGUCAUAAUAGAGUGCAGUGGCUGAUAGCUUGAAGUAGCUUAGAAAAAAAAAUGUGCGUGUGAUCAAUUACUGUCAUUUGACUCCAAAAUGAGAUGUGUGGUUUCUAUAAGAAGCUAACUUGUAAGAAGCUCUAUAUCCAGCAAGAUGUUUAUAUAAAAUAUUUCUUGUGGUGUAUCAAGUUUAAGUGUGAUCUUGAGGGUGUUGUGGCUUGCAGACUGACCUGCAAAAAAAAUAUUCAUAUUAAGGAGUACAAUAGAAGAGACAGUGGAGGAAUUCUUCUGUGACAGAAGGAAGAAACCUGUCAAUGUGUGAGUGCAAGGACAGGACUGCUUGGCACAUUGAUGUUUGUAUCCCAAACACAAGGAGAGAAGUAUACCUGUGGGCCAAGAAGAACAGGUUGAGACCUGAGCUGUGACAUGUAAAGAUGCCAGGAGCAGAGGUGCCACAGGACCCUAGGCUGACUCAGAGGAUGUGGGCUGAAACACCCCGGGGGAGGAAGGGGCACUGCUCGGGGUGAAUAGCCUGGGCAAAGUUUGCACCAGCCCACUGUGCUGCUUAUCUUGCCAGGGCAAGGGAGGGUGUUCGUUAAUCACUGCAGUCUAGAAUUGCUUUAUUAUUAUUAUUAUUUUAGUUUAGGUUUUAUUUUUGUGAGUUUCUCCAGUGUUGUGCAUAAGAAGCUCGAUAUUAUGAAAUGAAAUUUCUCAGAGUGGUAAGGCAUUGGAGUAGACUGCCCAGGAUGGUGGAGUCACCAUCCCUGGAGAUUUUCAAGAAAUGUGAAAAUGAAAGAGAGACCAUGAGAUAAACCAUGGGAGACAUGGUUUAGUGGGCAUGGUGGGAUGGGAUGUUGGUUGGGCUAGAUGGUCGUAGUGGUGUUUUCCAAACUUACUUAAUGAUUGUGAAAUUCUAAGAGCCUAGCCAUUUAUUUUGCUGGAAUGUGUCCUGAUUUCAUCUGUCUUGUCAAGAAAAGCAUGUUCUCUGCGGUUGGUUUGGGGCACUUUUUUACUUGGGGACUGAAGAACUGAAGUACAUGCUAGCACACAGGUAUUCCCUGUGCAGGGAGAGCACUGCUCCCACUCAGCUACUGGAGUCAGCUUGAGGGCAGGUGAUGGGUAGGGCUGGGUCAUCCCCUCAGCAGGCAGAGUCAGAGCCUCCAAUGCACAGCGGGUGGGGAAAGGUUGUUUAUGAUGCAUAAGGUACCCUAAGAGGGUCAUACAGCUUGAAAGAAAUCAGAUCAGGUUUCUGAAACUGAGACAACUAAAUUAUUCAGCAUGCUUUGCUUGCAAAGGUGCUGAGCACCUUGAAUCCCAUGUUUGAAUAGUCUGCAAGCUAGAAGAUUGUUUAUUGGAAGAAAUUUACUACAUUAUGAGUGAGUUUGAUAGGAGUCACCAUGGUGAGGAAAGGAAUAAUGGAUUUUCAGUCGUGGCUUCCUCUUCCCCCAGAGAGCAAUGAGUCUGUUUCCCUUUUCCAACAACAGCUUUAUUACAGCAUGUUAAAGGGAAACAAGAAGAUGAACAGACCGGGCCUGACUGUGCAGCAAUCACUCUUCUGAGGAGUCUGUGUGAGGAGAUGCUGGUCUGGGAGUCAAUGUGAGGAAAAGCAGAAGAUAUUUGCAAAGUAGCUUUAUAUCUGAAGUAUUAUUCAAGGGAGCUCACUCUAGAAGACAAGAGAACUGUUGGUACAUGAUGAAUAUAAAGCUCUAAGACUUGACGCUGAAGGAAAGUUCUCUCAAAAGUGUGCAUUUAGUCUUUGAUACCUUUGGUGAUACUUGCUGCUUCAUCUACCAUCUCUGUAAAUGUGGUGUCAGUUUCACUGUUACUGCAACUUGUGUCAAGUGAAAUGAAAACAGAAAUUUGGGAAAGGAUAUAAUUAACCUACCUGUGAACAUUAACCUUAAAUAUCGUGCUAAUUACCUCACUAAUUUAAUCACUGCAGAUCUCAAACUUGUUUGUUAAGUAUUUAAUUCUGCAAAUUGUUUCUGAUACAGAGGUGUGGAUAGCUUUAUAUGAAUAUAAGCUUCUAUAUAAAACUCCUUACAAAACCGUUGUAUAUUUGCACUUCAGCAAAAAAGUCCACUGUCAACAAGACUUUUAAUGGCAAUCACAGAAAACGUGCCCUGGGGCUAAGAGAUGUAGUGCCCUAUUACUUGUAAAUCUAAUGAGCAACAACAACAUGUGUGCUGAGUAGGCCACAGUAAAUUUCUGUCUGCACGUCUUCAGGUUUGAUUUCAUGGUAGUCUAGACUGGAAAGUUUGUUUUUCCUUGUUUCUUCAGCUGUAGUGCAGUUGUGUGAUUUCUUAUCUAUUCACCUGAUUACUUGAGCCACUGACCAGAUUAUGUCCUUGAUCUUCAUCCCUUCUUAACAAGUGAAUAUUUUCUGCUGCUUCUAGGCCAUGGGGUCACCCCCAGCCGCUGCCACUACGGGGAAAGGACCAGGCCAUGGGAGCUGGGCAAACUGCCAGAUAAGAGGAUGGCCAAGGCAGAGUGGGCACCGGAGGUGGGGGGGCAGGCCCUUACAUCCCUGCUACCCCAAUCUUCCAUCCCAUGGAAAAACCAAGUCUCCCUUCCUUCAUCUUUCCCCAGGGGCAUCAGCCAGCCCUGUGUUUCAGGCUGUACCGGAUGGCAGUACUUCUUUGUUUUUGUAAUGUAUGUCUCCUUUACUGAGAAAGAAGGUGGAAGACUGGCUUUGUCAUCGUGUUGCUGCACUGUAAAUUUUACUAUUAGAGUAAGGUGCAAAGGUAUCCUAAAUCUAUGUGAUGGCUCACACCAGACCUCUGUCAGGAGCUCUUUGAUUAGGUAGGUGUUCGCGUAAGUGCUUGUUUGGGACUACAUUAUUACCUUAUCAUAUAUUAUUCAGAAUUUCUUUCUGAUUGCCUAUAUUUAUUUAUUACACACUUGUACUCGUAAUUCAUACUGUUUAGUUCAUCCCUGACAAUAAGAAACAAAUUUCUGUAAAUUUAGCUGAAUAAAGUUGUAUUUGCCUUGUUAGUCAUAAGAAGUCUGGUUCUUCCUAUGCAUUACCUGAGUUUCUGGACAUCUUUUCCCUUCAUUUACUCAAAAAAUGACUUCAAUACUAAUGAAUACAGAAAGACAGCCAAGACAGGAUGAACUUUUGGACAAUUUAUGCAAACACGACAGAUGAGAAUAGAUUUACUAUAAACAUGUCAGGCACAAAAGACUUGACUGCUUUUUAAAUACAGUGAUACUGGAAGAGAUUUAUGGAUAUUUUCAACUGUUCAUUAAAGAGAAAAAUAUUUUGAAACUAUAGGCACUCUCUUUUUCUCCAUUUUUGCCUUCCAGGCUGAGUUGCAAACCUUUGAUGUUUUCUUCACCAAAAAAUAAAAGUAGUUAUGAAUUUAUUUCUCCCAAGCACUUUCAUUUUUGUGUCAAUUUACAGUUUUUAUUACAUUCCUGGCAGUCCAAAUUAUGGUGUUUGGAGAACUAGAGUCCCCAGCUCUGAGUUUUCUGAAAAUAGGAAUGAGAUUCACUUAAUGAUGCUUUCUGGCUGCUGCCUUUUUUCUCCUCCUAUAGUAAUAAAAGGUUAAUAAAAUCUAUGAAUACUUUAACUGCCUGCUUGAGCAACCAACCAAUUAAAGGUUAAUCAGACCUAAAUGACUGGUAGCCACUCAGAAAAAUUAACAUGCAAUGACUGGUACCUUCUGGAUCAGAUUAAGAAAACAAGAAUUCUUAGACAUGAAACCGUAUAUAACAUAAUCCCAAUAGUUGACCAAGGUAUCAGUUCUUAUUGCCAGACAGGCAUAUGCUUAGCUGCAUCUGUUUAGAAUCUACUUCAGGGCCUUUGUAAAUCUUUAGUGCAACUGAAGUUGAUGUCCCUCAGUGAUUUUGCAAGCUGGGAUUGAACUACUAGAAUAGUUUAAUGGAAUUAGGGGAUUCUUUCUAAAAUCAUGUUAAACUCAUAGAAGUAGUAAGGAAUUUGCAGUAGUAAGUCAAAACGUUGCACCAAAAUGGUAGCAGGAAGGAUUGUGCAGUGCUGGAAGAUCUCAUCCUGCCUGCUCACAAUGCUGACUAUUCUGCUGCUUUUUGAGAAGACAGGGAAAGAAAGAUGGAGAAAGAGGACAUGAGAAGAUUUGGAUGGAAAAUAAUACAGUUUUCAUUGCAGACUUAGAAGGGUAUCUGCAAUCUUGUAGCAUCAUGAUAUGAGUGUCCAGAGACCCUCCAAAAUAAGGCAUGAGGCUUAAUGAAAGUUUUAUUUUGGAGAGAAUAAAAAAACGGCUGACAGUAUUUUAACAGUUUUUACUGGACUUGCCUUUUCAGCCUUUUAAAAUUAAUUGAAGAGCCACAGACCAAUACACAUUUAUAAAUAACAUAAUGCAUUUGGGGAUAAUGCAAAUGUCUUUAUAAAUAACACAGUAUAGCUUAAAUCAUUAUUUUUAAUGCUGCUAUUUUUUGUUCCUAUAUGAACAGGUCUGUGCUGGUCUGCAUUAAUUAAAUUUAAGUAGGAUUUCUAAGGCCAGAUCAUCAUUACUUCUGUGGCCCUGAUUUAAGUCUGCAGUAAAACAUUUCUCCAUUUAGUCUGGUACUUUUGUGUCAUAUUUCAUACAGUAGUUGUCUCUUAAUUAAAUCCAUGAUGGCCCACCAACACAGACUAUUAAAAUAACUAUACUUUGCACUUGACAUAUUUAUGAGACAGAUUCAUAAGAGUAUAGACUGAUACUUGAACUACUCAGUGAGAAAUGCUAAUAAGAUUAUGAUGAAGGUAAGAUUAGAACAUUCGUCUCCUUUUCUCUCUUUUUAGAAAUUUAUUUUUAUAACCACAAUUCACUUCAUCUAUUUCGGGCUCUUUGAUGUUGUUGUAUAUACCAACAAUUCUUUCUGUGUGUAUUUAUUGUGGUGAUGAAAAGCGGGAAACUAUUUAUUUAUACUACUUCAGGAAAGUGCUUAAGUAUUGUGUCCUUGAAGUAUGAAUAUGUGCAGAUGUCUUUAAAACCUUCGCAUGGGACUGACGUGUUCAAGAUAUUACAUAUUAAGAAAUAGGUGUACCUUUGAAAUUGGAUGAUUGUAAAAUAUUGAUUAUCAUGAAGAGCUGCCUUGCUUUAUUUUUAUUGCCCUGUUCCUCGAGCUGUUCGGCUGUAGGGUCAGCAGGGUCUGCUCCCACCGGGGAAGGAGGCAGCUGUACUGUGCCUGUGAGCAUGUCCUACAUAUUGGCAUGCCAGACAGGAUGUGUCCUAGCCCAGCUUCCAGGUGUACAGUACAACUUAUUUGCAUGGAUUGGUCUGUGCAGUUUGCUCUAUGCAUUUUGGCUGUCACUGCACUGUUUGAAAUUGUUUGGAUGUAUGAUCUCAGCAAUUAGGGAAGACAAGAAAAGGAAAUCAUAUCCGCAAGUAGUAUGACUUGAAGGGUUGUGUGAUAUUUGUUGAGAUUUGAUCUUUUUGUGUGCAUGAAUAUCUGGAAAUGGCAUUCCUUUGUGGAUCAUUUAUUGACAAAGUUGCCAAUAUCAUGUGUUUGAUAUUUUUUUAAAUAAAGUGAAAGUGGUAGGUUCAAGGAAUUCCAUAUUUGAGAACGAGGGCAAUAGAAGUGAUAAAACUGCUACCUGGAUGGUCUAAAAUCAGCAACGAUUUCUGUCGCUUUUCAAGACCAAGACAUUCCCCUCUUAUGGACCUUCUUCUUUCUCUCCCUUUUUUCCAGUUAUAUCUUUCAUGGAAGGGCUCCUGUAUACCACUAAAUCCAAGUGUGGGCACAAUUGCAGAUGGCUCUAAAGACAUGCAGUUUGAAGGAUAUUUAUAUUAUCAGUGUAUAGAAACCCAAAUCUACGUGGUGUUCUGAUUUCUUUGGUGAUGAUAUAUCACUGUGCUUCACACUGGCAUUUUCUAUGAAAUUAUUGUAAGCAUAAAAUAUUGAGAUUUCAUUUACAAAUAAAUACGAUAUUAGAAAUAAGAAUAAUAAAGAUAUAUUAAAUAUUUCAUCUUCUAGAAAAAUAAACCAGCUACAGUUCAGGGAGCUUCAUUAAACACAUUAAAUCUAAUAAAAUCACCUACAUGUACUCCUGACACUAGUAGUAAUUAAAAUAACUUGUUUCAAAAAAUUGGUCCUAUACAUGAAUACUUAUUGGCAAUUAUUUCUAAGUUCUUCAAACCAAAGAUAAUGCAAUUUGAUUCACACACAAUGGUCUUGUAAAUGUGGUUCAUAGUGGGUUUUAUAUGCAGCUUAGGACUGUUAAUUGCCAUUUUGAGCCUCACAGUAAAAUAGAGUUCACUAUGUCGCUUUUUCUGAAGUAUUGAGGAAUGUUUGAGAAAUGCUUGUCUUAGUCUAAUCAACUGUGAAUAAUUUAUUUCUGAGUCCUACUUUUCAGUAUAAGUGGAUCUGACUUUUCUUAGAGCUUCUAAGGUCUAAUCAACUUGUUAUAUUCAUUUAAUUAGGAAAAUCUGUAACGAACUGUGAAGAGUGUGUACCAACAGGCUUUCUUGUUGUGUAAAAUGGGUGUGUUUUCCCUGUGAAUGCAAUUGUGUUUCUUUGUACUGACAGGUAGCCACUACUAAACAAAUCAGGUUUUCAUGGACACGUAUAGGUCCAUAUGCACAGCACACAGAUGUUUUCUGAGCUGCCUUUUCUCCUUAUGCUCGGAGAAAAGGUCUUUGAUCCUGGUCUAAAAUAUUGCCCGGUGUUUAUGGGAUGUAAUAUGAAAAUCAUCAAAACUGUCCUUGGCAGGAUGUUUCUUUCCAUUAGUUAAUUAAAGUGGUUUAUUGUUGCCUACAGCACGAUUGCUUUAUAUGUGUUUUUUUUUACAAAGAGCAGAUGUGCCCAUGUCCUGCACUGUUUCUCUUUGUUUUGACAAGUGCAGGAGUGAAGUCACUGCCUGGCAGAUCUCUCAGUGAUGUCUCAGAAGGAAAGGGGAGAUGCUGGACUGCGGGUGAGGCCACACAGCGGUGGCAUGGGGAACAGAGCUGGGGCUGUGCAAUGGUGAUGGCAGGAAGAAGAGUGAAUGAACCUGCGAGCAGCAGGAGCCCAGGGUAGAAACAGACAUCAUCUGGAACUGUCUGCCUGCCAGUGCUUUAGAAACAGCACUCUGACAAUAACAAAGUGGGUCUUGAUGUUUUCUUCACAUUAACAACCUUAACAUUUUGCCUACAGUAUGGAAGUGGGCAGUAGCUGAUCCUGAAAUGCUGGACAAGAUUGCAUGAGGUUGGAUACUUGCUCCUAUUACAGAGAAAAAUGGAAAACUUCAAAUCUUCAGAGUCAAUCUGAUUUUUGUUUUCAUGUUCUGCCCAUGUUUGAUGCAGGAGUUGAAAUCAAAAUCCAAAUAAUAUUUCCAAAUCUAGGGAUCUUUUCAAGUACCUUUCCAUCUCCCUAGCACAGGUUUUUCUAAGGCUCAUUGACAUCUAAUGUUAAUAAGGUCUUUCAUUACAGAAUCACAAAAUACUUGGCCUGUGACCUUAUGUUCAAUUAAUAUUUAUUUGAUAAUCAUAGGUAAAUUAAUUUCCAUUGUUUUUGUUUUAAUUCUAUACAAGAUUGUAAGAUACAACUAGAGAAAAACACAGAGAGCCAUGAGUAAAUGUUGCUCAUACAAAAUGUUUCUAUUACCCUUUACUUUUAAAACCAUUAAUAGAUUAUUAGGAGAUAUAAACACAGGAGACCAUGGAUCAUAUUUGCAUAUUAAUGAAACCCAUGAAUUAUACAUUAUUUGCUAUAGAGAGUACUAGGAACAGUAUUCCUUCUUUUUUUAAUGGCUACAAAAGCUGGCGGUUUCCUGGAGAACACAUCACAUCCCCUCUGCAAUACCUUCUAAUAGAAAGCAAGCAAGCCAGCUCUUCAAAGCAAUCUCUCACUAAAUGAAAUAGAUUUGUUUGUGUUGCUUUGCAACACACAAGUGUGACAGUUCAUUUUAAACAAAAUAGUUUUAAUAAUGUCAUUACUAAUAUCUGUUUGGUCAUCUCUCUGAAAAAUGGCGUUUUAAUGGGAAUGUUUCAUUUUAAUAAAUGGCAGAAGAGGCAAGCUGCCCUGAGUCAGCAGGAAGUGGAUAUACACCAGAGAACAGGCUGAUUGUGUUAGAUUCAUCCAGAACAUCGAACAGCACACAGACAGUCCAAGAAAAAGCAACUGGCUUUAUUCAAAUGAUUAGUCUUGCUGCUACGCUGUAGUGCAGAUUCACACAUUCUUCUAUUAUUCCUUGACCUUGUGCCAAAAACUCCCACUUGAAGUAAUAAUUAGAAUUAGUGUUUCCAGUGCAUGCUUCCAUCUUCCUAACAAACAGUAAUGAAAUGUGGCUUUUACAAAAUAUGUAGUUAAUUAAACUUUUUUAAAACAUUUGUUGAUUAAUACAGUUCCUCCGUGCUAUCCCCUUGCUGUGCCCAGCAGUACAGUUCUACCUGAUAUUGGUGAAUCAGAAGAAAAGCACUGGCAGUGAGACGAAGAACAGUUUGGAAAUUUGCACUUCAAUAUUAGUUAUAUAUAUUUUCUUUUCUUUCUCAUUUUGACUCUGUCUAGGCAUAAAUUGGAAAGAUGGCCAAUAUUUGUAAUCACAGGUUUUUAAGCCCAGGACAGUGUGCGCAUUAUAUAACUACUCUACACAUAACCCUCAGCAUGAAUAUGAGGAGCACAUAUAUCAAGUACUAUAAGCCCAGUGCACAACACUAUCUGUUACACACGGAUACUGGCAAUAUUACAAGGUGGACUCCAGGGAUAAGAGACAGCCAACCCCACACACCUCCCACGCCUGAGUCAUACCCACGGUAACGCCAGGUCCUGCUCAUACCUGCUGUCGGCAGAAAUGAAACAGUACGAGUCGUUGUGUUUCAGAGCUUUUUUUAAUUGAUUCUCCAGAAUGCUUGAUCUAACCUGCUGAUAUCCCUGUGUUAUUAUACAGAGGCAUGGUCUAUCUGCAUAGCAAUGGACAAAAUGCCUGUAAAAAUAUUGCUAUUCAUUCAAUCGAUGUCGGAGCUGGAGUAGGCACCAGCUACACUCUGCAAUGCUUGUCCUGGAAUAUCAAUAAAUAAAUCAUAAAAGCCAAUGCUUCAAAUAUUGAAAAAAUUCAGACUUCAAACUGUGUUUUGAACUAUACUGAGAGCAAUGUCUCAGAUUGUCCUUUUGCUUUAUAUGAAUAGAAGAAAUUCAAAGUAGGAGGAACUUUCUCUGGGGAUUUGGUGUAGGGGAGUGCCACAAACCAUCAGCCUUCCUGUCUCUGCCAUGCCAGAGUGUCCUCUCCUGGGAUGUGCCAUGAGGAGCAGACAGCACAUCUGGGGAGCUAAUGUGGCUUCAGAUGAAAUUAUCUCCUGCAGAAUCCAUCUUGGCUGACAGCAGCAUGCACGCGAAGGAGCCAGGCAGUGGCAGGGAGCCAGGUCACAGGAGGGCAGGUGAAGGCUCGGAGGAGAGCAGCACCUACCUGUGACUGUC